CACGUAGGGCGCAAGCGUUGUCCGGAAUUAUUGGGCGUAAAGAGCUCGUAGGCGGUCUGUUGCGUCCGCUGUGAAAACCCGGGGCUUAACCCUGGGCUGGCAGUGGAUACGGACAGACUAGAGGUAGGUAGGGGAGAAUGGAAUUCCCGGUGUAGCGGUGAAAUGCGCAGAUAUCGGGAGGAACACCGGUGGCGAAGGUGGUUCUCUGGGCCUUACCUGACGCUGAGGAGCGAAAGCGUGGGGAGCGAACAGG
rnacentral:rRNA from 1 species